ACAGGUGUUAUUGGAAUGGAAAUGAACUUUUUAAUACAUUUUAUAGGUAUUACAUAUAGCUAGAAUUUUACACCAUAUUUUUACACUUUAUUUUUUGACUUUGUCACCUAUCACCUUUUCCAAAUUACUAAAAACUAAAAAUACCUUAAUGAAAUUAAGAGCAUGAAUGAUUUGGCAAAUCAAGACGGUGCAGUUUUUCUCCUGUCAUGUAGGUCUAUGAUAUAUAUCAUUUUUCAAUAUUGCUGGUGGGUUGAGCCGACCUAACUACACACUGUGAUCCUGAGAUGUGGCUCCUGUCUGUCAAUUUGGAAUAGAUUUAAUUUGGAGUUACUACUUGGGUAGUCUAAUUAUUUCAAAAAGGAAGGGGGAGAAAAGUGAGUAAUAAGAGUAUUAUAGGAAACUAUAUUUUAACAAAAGUUGUAGUUGAAAGUUAGAAAGAAACAUAUAAUCAGGGCCGGGUGUGGUGGCUCACGCCUGUAAUCCCAACACUUUCGGAGACCGAGGCAGGCAGGUCACCUGAGGUCAGGAGUUCGAGACCA
rnacentral:lncRNA from 10 species